rnacentral:rRNA from 2 species
UUCCGGUUGAUCCUGCCGGACCUGACUGCUAUCGGAUUGAUACUAAGCCAUGCGAGUCAUUGUAGCAAUACAAGGCAUACGGCUCAGUAACGCGUAGUCAACCUAACCUAUGGACGGGAAUAACCUCGGGAAACUGAGAAUAAUGCCCGAUAGAACAUUAUGCCUGGAAUGGUUUAUGUUCCAAAUGAUUUAUCGCCGUAGGAUGGGACUGCGGCCUAUCAGUUUGUUGGUGAGGUAAUGGCCCACCAAGACUAUUACAGGUACGGGCUCUGAGAGGAGUAGCCCGGAGAUGGGUACUGAGACACGGACCCAGGCCCUAUGGGGCGCAGCAGGCGAGAAAACUUUGCAAUGUGCGAAAGCACGACAAGGUUAAUCCGAGUGGUUUCUGCUAAAGAAACCUUUUGUCAGUCCUAGAAACACUGAUGAAUAAGGGGUGGGCAAGUUCUGGUGUCAGCCGCCGCGGUAAAACCAGCACCUCAAGUGGUCAGGAUGAUUAUUGGGCCUAAAGCAUCCGUAGCCGGCUCUGUAAGUUUUCGGUUAAAUCUGUACGCUCAACGUACAGGCUGCCGGGAAUACUGCAGAGCUAGGGAGUGGGAGAGGUAGACGGUACUCGGUAGGAAGGGGUAAAAUCCUUUGAUCUAUUGAUGACCACCUGUGGCGAA